GGACCCGCACAAGCGGUGGAGCAUGUGGUUUAAUUCGAUGCAACGCGAAAAACCUUACCUACUCUUGACAUACUUGGAAGCUCUUGUAAUGAGAGUGUGCCUUUUGGAACCAAGAUACAGGUGCUGCAUGGCUGUCGUCAGCUCGUGUCGUGAGAUGUUCCGUUAAGUCGGAUAACGAGCGCAACCCUUACCCUUAUUUGCCAGCGAUUCGGUCGGGAACUAUAAGGGGACUGCCGGUGAUAAACCGGAGGAAGGUGAGGACGACGUCAAGUCAUCAUGGCCCUUACGAGUAGGGCUACACACGUGCUACAAUGGGGAAUACAGACGGACGCUAAGCCGCGAGGUGGUGCU
rnacentral:rRNA from 1 species